CCGGUCUGAGAUGAUGUCCGGUCGCGAUGGGACUGAGAUACGGCCCUUACUCCUACGGGAGGCAGCAGUGGGGAAUCUUGCACAAUGGACGAAAGUCUGAUGCAGCAAUUUCGCGUGAAGGAUGAAGCAUUACGGUGUGUAAACUUCUUUUUUGGAGGAAGACGAAUGACGGUACUUCAAGAAUAAGAGACGGCUAACUACGUGCCAGCAGCCGCGGUAAUACGUAGGUCUCAAGCGUUAUCCGGAUUUACUGGGCGUAAAGUGUCCGUAGUCUGAUCUGUAAGUCUGUUUUCAAAUCCUACGACUCAAUCGUAGAAAGGGAAUGGAUACUGCAGAUCUAGAAGUAUCUAGGGGUUAGUGGAAUUUCCGGUGGAGCGGUGAAAUGCGUUGAUAUCGGAAGGAACGCCGAAAGCGAAAGCAGCUAACUAUAGAAUACUUGACGAUGAGGGACGACAGUUUGGGGAGCAAACAGGAUUAGAUACCCUGGUAGUCCAAACCGUAAAUUAUGCUUGCUAGAUGUUUUUAUCAGUUUACUGGUAGGAGUGUCGUAAUCUAACGAGUUAAGCAAGCCGCCUGGGUAGUAUAUUCGCAAGAAUGAAACUCAAAGGGAUAGGCGGGGGAACACACAAGCAGUGGAUUAUCUAGAUUAAUUGGAUAAUAAGCCAAGAAUCUUACCUAGGAUUGACAUGUAUUGUGUCUGCGGUGAAAGUCGCAUAUCCGUAGCAAUACGGAGCUUUACACAGGUGGUGCAUGGUCGUCGUCAGCUCGUGCCGCAAGGUGUCUAGUUAAGUCUGGAAACGAGCGCAACCCUCGUGUUUAGUUAGUAUGUCUAAACAGACUGCUCGGGUAACCGAGAGGAAGGAGAGGAUGACGUCAGAUCCUCAUGCCCCUUACACCUAGGGCCUCAUAGAUAAUACAAUGGGUAGGUACAGCGAGAAGCGAAACCGCGAGGUGGAGCAAAUCUUUAAAACUGCCCUUAGUUCGGAUUGUACUCUGGAACUCGAGUACAUGAAGUUGGAAUUGCUAGUAAUGGCAGAUCAGCCAUGCUGCCGUGAAUACGUCCCUGUUCCUUGCACUCACCGCCCGUCAAACCAUGGGAGCUGAGGCUCUUUGAAGACUCAUUAUAUGGGUUAAGGAGGGAAUCAGUGACUGGGGUUAAGUCGUAACAAGGCAUCCCUACCGGAAGGUGGGGAUA
rnacentral:rRNA from 1 species